rnacentral:rRNA from 1 species
GACGAACGCUGGCGGCGUGCUUAACACAUGCAAGUCGAACGGGAAACCUUUGAAUGAAUCUUCGGCAGAUUUAGCUGGUUUCUAGUGGUGGACGGGUGAGUAACGCCUGGGUAACCUGCCUUAUACAGGGGGAUAACAUUCAGAAACGACUUCUAAUAUCGCAUAAGCGCACAGGACCGUAUGAUCCGGUGUGAAAAACUCCGGUGGUAUAAGAUGGAGCUGUGUUGGAUUUGCUGGUUGGUGGGGUAACGGCUCAGCGAGGCGACGAUCCAUAGCCGGCCUGGAGAGGUGAACGGCCACAUUGGGGCUGGGACACGGACCAGACUCCUACGGGAGGCAGCAGUGGGGAAUAUUGCACAAUGGGGGAAACACUGAUGCAGCCACGCCGCGUGAAGGAAGAAGUAGAUCGGUAUGUAAACUUCUGUCAGAAGGGAAGAUAGUGACGGUACCUAACUAAGAAGCCCCGGCUAACUACGUG